rnacentral:rRNA from 1 species
AUUGAACGCUGGCGGCAUGCUUUACACAUGCAAGUCGAACGGUAACAGGCCGCAAGGUUCUGGCGAGUGGCGAACGGGUGAGUAAUGCAUCGGAACGUGCCCAGUCCUGGGGGUUAACUACUCGAAAGAGUAGCUAAUACCGCAUACGAUCUAUGGAUGACAUCGGGGGACCGGAGGGCCCCGCGGAUGUGGAUGGGCCGGCGUCAGAUUAGCUAGUUGGUGGGGUAGUGGCUCACCAAGCCCACGAUCUGUAGCCGGUCUGAGAGGGUGACCGGCCACAGUGUGACAGAGAUACGGCCCGGAGUGAAACGGGGGGCAGGAGUGGGAAAUAGUGCACGAUGGGCGGAAGGCUGAUGCAGCAACGCCGCGUGGUGAUGACGGCCUUCGGGUUGUAAACCGCUUUCGCCUGUGACGAAGCGUGAGUGACGGUAAUGGGUAAAGAAGCACCGGCUAACUACGUG